GCUGGAAUCGCUAGUAAUCGCAGGUCAGCACACUGCGGUGAAUACGUUCCCGGGUCUUGUACACACCGCCCGUCACACCAUGGGAGCCGGAAAUGCCCGAAGCCAGUGACCCAACCUUAGGGAGGGAGCUGUCGAAGGUGGAGCCGGUAACUGGGGUGAAGUCGUAACAAGGUAGC
rnacentral:rRNA from 1 species